GUGGUAGUAGCUCAAUGGUUAGAGCACUGGGUUGUGGUCCCAGCGGCUGUGGGUUCAAGUCCCAUCUACCACC
rnacentral:tRNA from 1 species